GCGGUAGACCAGCGCGGCCACCGCGUACACCCCGGCGCCGCCCAGCAGGAAGGCGGCGCGGGUGUCGGCGUCGGCCUCGCCGCAUCCCUCCUGGUAGCGCAGGCAGGCGUCCACGACGCGGCGGGCGGCCCGCAGUGAUGUACCAGUUUUGUAUGCCUUCAGGAUUUUGGGAUAUCCAUGUGGCUGCAGUUCUGUUCCUACCCAGUAUUCCACAUCCCUCCUGAGCUGAAGGUUGAACUACCCUGUCCUGUAUGGACUCCAUUUACAAAGCUACACAAAAGAUUUUGUGGUUUUUGUUCCAUAAUGAUCAUUUGGCGGUGAUAUGAACACCUGUUUUGAAAAUGAAAUGUUCUUGGCAUUGCUCAACAGAAUCUCUUUUCCUGAGUCAACCUUUUCUCCUGUAACUUGUGUGUAAUAAUACAAGUUGAUAAUACAAAUACAAUUUCUGCAUAACCUAAGUUUUGGUGCAUGCAUUGCCAUUUCAUCGCAAUGGAAAUUACACAUCAGAAGAAGACAGGGCUGCACUGAAUUACCUUUUGCUUCAAGAGUGCACUGAAUUUUUGUCCACUACUCAGGUUGAUUAAAUUUGUUAAUUUAACAGAAGUUGAAUUUCUUUGAGACUUAAUUACCAAAUAUGGUAGAAAUUUGCCCACAUGAGAAAUUAUGGGAUAGUGGGAAAUGCUGAAUAAGUACUUGGACAGUCAUGCAUGUCUCUUCCUUAAGAGACAAGACUAGAAGUUUUUGGGGUUUGUUUGUUGUUUUGUGGCAACUUACGUAUUUUUGUAACGAGAUACUGAAAGCAUGGGUAGAUGUACUCAUUGCUUACAGAAUUGAUUUUUAUUACAAAAUCUCACAUUUUGCAUUUGGAGAUGUAGGAUGAUGUUGGUAAGGGUUUCAGCUUAGGUAGAAACAGCUGGUUUAGAGUCUCUGAAGAGAGUAUUGCAUUUUUCAGUAUCUUUAUGUAGAACUACCUGUGAUGAAUGAAUCACUCUUCAGCUAUUCACAAUUGCCAGGGCUUUCUGCAGAGCAGCAAGUUUGAAAUUUAGAGUUUUGGCUUAGCUGGUAAAACUCUAAAAUAGUAGUACCUUGACCCUGGAACUUUUUUUCCAUAGGCUUUGUUAUCCCCGGUUUUCAUUCCCUUGGCUCAAGCCUGUUCAGGUUAACAUGAUGGUGGAACUCUUCUCAGACAUGUCUGUCAAAAUUAACAAUUUCUUUGUCCAGCAGGUUGUCCCAUAUUUUUUUUAUGUUCAAAAUGAUUUCUACUGAACACAAGUACUCUUGUAUGCUUGGAGACCAGUCGUUCAUCUGCAGUUCUCUGCAUGGCUCUGGCAUUGUCUGAUAGAAUAAGGAAGCAAAGAAUCCCACUGGGCACUCUACUGUUGAUAUUUAAACCAAACCCUUCUUUUUGUCUCAUUAAUUAGUCUGUCAGUACAAAAUAUAUUGUAAAUUCUAAAUUUCCUUAAGUGCAUCUUUUCUACAAUAGAUGUCAGUGCGAUAUUCAAGAUUUUAAUUGUAACAUUUUUGUCACAGCCAGAAUUUGGAAGCAUUUCAAAGUACAGGAACAAAAAUCAAUAUUGGAAGUCAACUAGUACAUUUUGCCAUUGCCUUUGUGUUAACUGAUCUCAAUAAUUGCUGUAAUGGAAAGAAUAGACUUGUAUUAACAAACCAUGUUUCUACUUGGCAGGGCAGAGACCUCACCAGGAGGAGUCCCUGCCUGGUGGGGAAGGGAGCUGGGAACAGUGACUGGGCCUUGGGCACAGCCACAGGCACUGAGGAAUGAUGCAAAUUGCUGGGAUUUCAGGCUGUAACACUAAAUGUGAUAAGAAAAUGUCUUGGAGUCUUACAUACAGCUAAUGAUGAUAAUGAUGAUAAUGGUUUUACGUCCUUGGGGAAAGCCAGCACCUGCAGAAACAAGUUAUCCUUUAACAAUAUGCUAAGGAAGUUAGAUACAUGAUAAUGGAAAUGGAAGAUUUCCAACUUCUGAAUCAUCAAAACUAGUGCAGCCUUUCACCUUCUUUAAAAUUUCCAUCUUGGCCAUGCUUUGGCCAGGUCUGAGUCUCUUAGUUUUAAUAUUUCAUAGUGCCUUCUGAUAAUGGUGUGUGUUACAAGAUGUGUACACACAUACAGACACACACAAAAACCACAUUGUCCAUAAACAAAACCUCUCCCAGGUGUUUUGAUGUUUGCUUGAUGGUUUGUUUUGGUGGGGUGAGUUUUUUGUUUGACUAGUGGUUUCUUUAGUUUUUUGGGGGAUUUUUUUUUGUCAGAUUAACAAAACUGUAAGACAAGGCUGGGUUUAAAAAAUGAAAAUUUUAAUAUGACACUUUUCCUGAGAACCUUCUAGCCCAGCCUUUUCCAGUUUUCCCUAAGAAGUAAGCAGCCUAGGUUAGGGAACACAGAGUCGUGCAAAUUCACACAGGUCCAGCUUUGUACAUCUGAGAGCAGCCUGGUCUGGAUGCUUUUAGAAGUCUUCAUAAUACUGACUGCUCUCCAUGGGGUGCUGAUGCAUUAUCACUUACAGCUGCAAACCUAGGAAAGCAUAAAAUAACCUGACCUUGCGUGUAUAGUUCUUGUCCACUCAAAGAACGAAGCAGUUGGCUUAACUAACAUUGAAAAGGAAUGAGGUUGAUACUCAAGACAGUGCAGUCUCCUCAAGAUUUUUUUUUUUUUUUAACUGACACAUUUUAAAGCUCAAUUCACUAUAUAGGAUGACAGAACGGCUGAGGUUGGAAGUGGUCCAGCGUCACUCUGGUCCAGCUCCCCUCCCCUCUCAAGCAGGUCACUUAGGGUGAGUUGCCCAGAACUGUGUCCGGAUGGCUUUGGAAUAUCUGAGCACAGAGACUCCAUGACAUCCCUGGACAACCUGUGCCAGUGCUCAGACACCCUCACAGUAAAAAAGUGUUUCCUGAUGUUCAGACAGAAUUGUGUUUCACUUUGUGCCUUCUGCAUCUUGUGCUGUCACUGGGCACUACUUAGACAAUCCUGGCUCUGUCCUGAUUGCACUCUCCCUCCAGGUAUUCCUCUGCACUGACAAGGUCCCUCCCUGAGUCUUCUCCAGGCCAAGCAGUCACAAAUCUCUCAGCCUUUCCUUGUGGAAGAGGUAUUUCAGGCCCUUAAAAAUCAUUGUGACCCUUUUCUGGACUCUCUCCAGUAGCUCCAUCUCUGUCCUGGGGAGCCCAGAACUAGGCACAGCGCUCAAGUACAAUUCUUGUUCUACUUAAGUUUGACAAUCCAUACAAGUUUGCUUGUUUUUUAUGUAAAUGUUGCAGCUGCACUGAAAAUAGGUCUCAGAAGAGAAAAUAAUUAAGGAGGCCAGAGUUUAUUCUUAAUAAUCCUGAAACAGUGCAUGUAAUGCUUCUCUUUAAAUACAGUGAUAAUAUUUUCUUGGGAAAGUGCCAAGAACAUUUCAAAAUCAAUUUCUGUUCACAUUCAUUUACAGCUCUUGCACUUAUUGCACCGUCUGUCUUCAUUUCACUGCUCUGUACUACUCUGAUGGGAUGCAUAGAGCUCUGCUAAACUGUGCUAAAGAUCUGUGUGUGGAAGGUUAUGCUAUUUUGCUUGUUAAGCAUCCAAGAGGGAGGUAACAGAAAUAUUAAAGGUACUGUACUCUGAUUUGGGUUUUUUAGUAGGAGAAGGUUUUAUGGGCAUUUUCAAGUUAUAAAUUUAUAUAAUGUGAAGUGUUAUUAUUGUACUUUGAACAAAAAUAUUUUGCUUUGUUUUUGCACCCUCAAGUGUGUAAGCUAUGAUCAAGGAAAUAUUUGCAUCUAGUAUUUAUCUUGCAAUAAAUAGUCCCUCACUGCUCUCAGUACUGUUCACAACAUCAUGGUCUAAGUUUGUUUCAGAGCACUGUUAAGCAGUUUUGUUUUUCUAUAGUUUGGUUUUCAAACAGCUUUCUUAAAAAAAAAAAAAUAGAGGCAGAAGAUAUAUAAAAAAUAAUUCACAGCUUCAUGAAUUAUGCAGGGCAACAUUCUAGUUGGUAAGGCAAAAUUUUCAGGUACUAAGAUAUAAAUUUGGGUGGGAUAUUACAGAAUUAAACCAUAUGGAUCAGAAUUAUUGCUUACAGACUUGAUAUAAAAAGCUCGUGCUUGAGUGGAUCAGACCAAUGCUGCUCUGGAACAAGAUCUCCCCCUUCCAGCAUUCUUUAAGUUGAUAUUUCUCUGAAGUAAGCAGAUUUAAGACUGUUUAAAGGGCAUUUUAAGCCAUUUAAGGCUUCACAAAGUGAUACUAGUGAGUGGCUGAAAAAACCCACUGUAUUUCCCAUACAAACAUGGUUAUUAAAACUUCUCUGUGUAAGGCAGAUGAUUAAAAUUCUUUAAUGAUGAAAAAGGCAAUGCAGAUAAAGAAAAUUAUAUUUAUGUAAUAUUUACAUACAAACUUACAUUUUAUAGAUACAUAUGUAUGUAUGUAUGUAUAAGCUCAAAUUUGA